rnacentral:lncRNA from 1 species
UGCACUUUCAGACCCAAAAAGUGUUUCAAGAAAACUUUGUAAACGACAAACUAUAUCUAAUAAUCAUAAAUUCAAGUAUUAAUUGGUUCAUGUCAUAGUUAAUAUUUAUACGGUUAAUAAAAUCUAAUAAUACUAAGAACCCAUUUUUUACAGAAAAAAAAUCUACCAGAACUUUAAGAAGCAGAGAUGAAAAUGAAUGAUUGUAAAAGAAAAUAUGAAACCUUACCUUUGGUAUGGUUGGUGAGAGCACCGAUGAGUGAGACAGGGAGAAGUGUUUUCCUAAGGUAAGAGGAACACAAUAAAGGAGGAGGUGAGAAAUUGUUACAAGUGUAAAAUGUUUGAAGAGAGGUUUUUUCCUGAAGCGUAAAAUGACUUCCGGAAAUUUCAGGAAAAAAGCGAAGGUUUUUCCUUUGACUAACAAGUUUUUUUUCCCUAUGUUUUACAGAAUCAAACACCGAAAAAUUAAGAAAACAUUUUCCGGAAAAUAGAAGUAACAAAACAGACAGACCCUUAAUUCGCAACUUUGUUGCCUUCUUGAACCACUUAGGAAAAGGAAACAUGAUCAAAACAAAGACAACAAUAAAGAAUAUCUUGUUUAAUAGCAAACUAUUCCAACAUUCACAUGAAGAAGGCCAUUUAUGCAGUCAGACUAAAAAUGACAUGGGACCAACCUCUGUCUUUUGCUUUCAAGCACGCCACACGGAUAGCAAAAGCUUUUGCUGCCUCGAUAGAUGUUGCAUAGAUCAAAUCCAACCAUCCAUCAGAGCUCUAUCGUGAUCCUGAACAGUAAGCCA